rnacentral:rRNA from 1 species
UACAGAGGUCUCAACCGUUGUUCGGAUUCAUUGGGCGUAAAGGGUGCGUAGGCGGUCGCGCAAGUCGGAUGUGAAAUCUCAGGGCUCAACCCUGAAACUGCAUUCGAUACUGCGUGGCUAGAGUGCUGGAGAGGAGACUGGAAUUUACGGUGUAGCAGUGAAAUGCGCAGAUAUCAGGAGGAACACCAAUGGCGAAGGCAGCUCGCUGGGACGUGACUGACGCUGAGACGCGAAAGCGUGGGGAGCAAACAGG